GGCAUCUCCAAUGAACAAGGAUGGCAACUCCAUUCCUCUUAUUUAGGGCCCUUGAUUCAUAUGUGGUGCUAUUGGUGUGGUCCCUAAGGGCAAACUUUAGUCCCUUAACAUUUUACAGGUAUGUCAUAUUCAGUGGGGUGCCUCUAUAUUUAAACAUUCUGUCAUGUCUGCUGUUAUUCCAGACAGCUGGGUCUUCCCCGAAUAUCUCCCCAGAGGAGAUAAGGGAAGGGUAAGGG